AGAGUAGAAGUACACCAUGUACCUCUGAACUGUAGAGAGUAGAAGUACACCAUGUACCUCUGAACUGUAGUGAGUAGAAGUACUUUAAACCUCUAGCUACAUGUCACUAAAGGAAUAAUGUUUCUGUCUCUUAUAGUAAAUGUGUAAAAGGUAAUAUUAGAUGUUUCUUGAUGUAUUUGUAUUUGAUUGCUCUGAUGUUUCUGUUGUUUCUCAGAUGACGUACGUCCUGCUGGACAUCGCCGUGCAGGAGCUGUUCCCUGAGCUCAGCAAGGAGUGAACGAGGCGUGUGGAGAGCUGACGUGUGGAUCGCCUGUUUCUGAACUCCUCUUUAAAUUCCAGUGUAUAUAAACCAUUGAAUAAAGAGACAUAUAUUUAUUGAUCUAA